UACCGNAUGAGCCNAGAGGUAAAAGAUUNAUUGNCUAAGGAUGAACUCGCGUCUGAUUAGCUAGUUGGUGGGGUAANAGCNUACCAAGGCNGNGAUCAGUAGCUGNUCUGAGAGGANGANCAGCCACACUGGGACUGAGACACGGCCCAGACUCCUACGGGAGGCAGCAGUGGGGAAUUUUCCGCAAUGGGCGAAAGCCUGACGGAGCAACNCCGCGUGCGGGAGGACGGUUUGUGGACUGUAAACCGCUUUUAAUAGGGAAGA
rnacentral:rRNA from 1 species